UGCUGGACCGAGAAGAUGUAGAAAUUUCACAGUACUUCGAUGAAUGCUUUAAAUUCAUUGAAGAGGGCAAAAGAGUAGGUGGUGUUUUGGUUCAUUGCUAUAUGGGAAGAUCCAGAAGUGUGGCAGCUGUCGUUUCUUAUCUGAUGAAAAAGCAUGGUAUGAGCAUGUCUGAAGCGCUGAAACUUGUGAAAAGUAAAAGGCCAAUGGCUUGUCCUAAUGCUGGUUUUAUGUUGCAGCUACA